UACAGAGGGGGCAAGCGUUGUUCGGAAUUACUGGGCGUAAAGGGCGCGUAGGCGGCCUGUUAAGUCGAACGUGAAAGCCCGGAGCUCAACUCCGGAAUUGCCUUUGAAACUGUCAGGCUCGAGUACGGGAGAGGUGAGUGGAAUUCCCAGUGUAGAGGUGAAAUUCGUAGAUAUUCGCAAGAACACCGGUGGCGAAGGCGGCGACCUGGUCCGAUACUGACGCUGAGGCGCGAAAGCGUGGGGAGCAAACAGG
rnacentral:rRNA from 1 species